UACGAAGGGGGCUAGCGUUGCUCGGAAUCACUGGGCGUAAAGCGCACGUAGGCGGGUCCUUAAGUCAGGGGUGAAAUCCCGGAGCUCAACUCCGGAACUGCCUUUGAUACUGGGGAUCUUGAGUCCGGAAGAGGUGAGUGGAACUCCGAGUGUAGAGGUGAAAUUCGUAGAUAUCGAGAGGAACACCGGCGGCGAAAGCGGCUACCUGGACGAGGACUGACGCUGAGAUGCGAAAGCGUGGGGAGCAAACAGG
rnacentral:rRNA from 1 species